rnacentral:rRNA from 1 species
AUUGAACGCUGGCGGCAGGCUUAACACAUGCAAGUCGAGCGGAGAUGAGGUGCUUGCACCUUAUCUUAGCGGCGGACGGGUGAGUAAUGCUUAGGAAUCUGCCUAUUAGUGGGGGACAACAUUCCGAAAGGAAUGCUAAUACCGCAUACGUCCUACGGGAGAAAGCAGGGGAUCUUCGGACCUUGCGCUAAUAGAUGAGCCUAAGUCGGAUUAGCUAGUUGGUGGGGUAAAGGCCUACCAAGGCGACGAUCCCUAGCUGGUCUGAGAGGAUGACCAGCCACACUGGAACUGAGACACGGUCCAGACUCCUACGGGAGGCAGCAGUGGGGAAUAUUGCACAAUGGGCGCAAGCCUGAUGCAGCCAUGCCGCGUGUAUGAAGAAGGCCUUCGGGUUGUAAAGUACUUUCAGCGGGGAGGAAGGCGAUGUGGUUAAUAACCGCGUCGAUUGACGUUACCCGCAGAAGAAGCACCGGCUAACUCCGUGCCAGCAGCCGCCGUAA